rnacentral:lncRNA from 1 species
CAGGACUGGCAGGCAGCUCCACCUGCAGCCCCGGUGCGGGAUCCACUGGGUGAAGCCAGCUGGGCUUCUGAGUCUGGUGGGGACAUGGAGAACCUUUAUGUGUAGCUCAGGGAUUGUAAAUACACCAAUCAGCACCCUGUGUCUAGCUCAGGGUUUGUGAAUGCACCAAUGGACACUCUGUACCUAGCUACUCUGGUGGGGCCUUGGAGAACCUUUAUGUCUAGCUCAGGGAUUGUAAAUACACUGAUCAGCACUCUGUAUCUAGCUCAAGGUUUGUAAACACACCAAUCAGCACCCUGUGUCUAGCUCAGGGUUUGUGAAUGCACCAAUCUACACUCUGUAUCUAGCUACUCUGGUGGGGCCUUGGAGAACCUUUAUGUCUAGCUCAGGGAUUGUAAAUACACCAAUCGGCACUCUGUAUCUAGCUCAAGGUUUGUAAACACACCAAUCAGCACCCUGUGUCUAGCUCAGGGUUUGUGAAUGCACCAAUGGACACUCUGUAUCUAGCUACUCUGGUGGGGACUUAGAGAACCUUUAUGUCCACACUCUGUGUCUAGCUAAUCUAGUGGGGACGUGGAGAACCUUUGUGUCUAGCUCAGGAAUUGUAAACACACCAAUCAGCGCCCUGUCAAAACAGACCAGGCCUCUACCAAUCAGCAGGAUGUGG